rnacentral:tRNA from 1 species
UGUUGGAGUAGUCUAAUCAGACAUUUGAUUUCGACUCAAAAGAACUUAUUAUAUUAAGCCCCAACAA